GUCUACUAAGAACUUGUUAAAAUUCAGUGGAUCCUUCAUGCUGCACAGAAAACUGAAUAUGUCACAAUACUAUCUCCCAAGCAUUUACUGCCCCUCAGAGCUAUUCCACCCACAGAGCUGAAGAGGAAACACGAGCACCAAGAUCUUGCCUUUUUAAAGGGAAAUGGUCCUGAUGAAGAAGCCGUUGUAGAUCUUGGCAAAACUAGCUCAACCGUGAACACCAAGUUUGAAAAAGAAGAACUAGAAAGCCACCGAGCUGUGUAUGUCGGUGUUCAUGUACCAUUUAGUAAAGAGAGUCGUCGGCGACACAAGCAUCGAGGGCAUAAGCAUCACCACCGGAGAAGAAAAGACAAAGACUCAGAUAAAGAAGAUGGACGGGAAUCUCCUUCUUAUGGUAGGAAGAAGUUGCUCUCCACUGAUGCCUUAAACUUAUUUCUAAGAAAUAUGUUUUUCACUUCAUUCCUUU
rnacentral:lncRNA from 1 species